CCUACGGGGGGCUGCAGUGGGGAAUUUUUCGCAAUGGGCGCAAGCCUGACGACGCAACGCCGCGUGGAGGAUGAAGGUCUUCGGAUUGUAAACUCCUGUUGAUCGGGACGAAAAGCUUCAACCUAAUACGUUGAAGACUGACGGUACCGGUUGAGGAAGCCACGGCUAACUCUGUGCCAGCAGCCGCGGUAAUACAGAGGUGGCAAGCGUUGUUCGGAAUUACUGGGCGUAAAGGGCGCGUAGGCGGCCUUCUAAGUCGGACGUGAAAGCCCCAGGCUUAACCUGGGAACUGCGUCUGAUACUGGGAGGCUUGGAUUCGGGAGAGGGAUGUGGAAUUCCAGGUGUAGCGGUGAAAUGCGUAGAUAUCUGGAGGAACACCGGUGGCGAAGGCGGCAUCCUGGACCGAGAUCGACGCUGAGGCGCGAAAGCUAGGGGAGCAAACGGGAUUAGAUACCCCGGUAGUC
rnacentral:rRNA from 1 species